AAUUUGCCCUCAAAAGGCAGAAUUUUCCAGGGGAAAAGCUCUGCCCAGCUCUCAAACUGCCUGUUUGUCCUUAAAAAGGGAAACAGAGAGAUCUGGCCAGAGCAAGCUGAUAAAGGGAGACGCGCUCACAGAAGUUGUAUCGGCAUCAGAAAAGCAAGGGAGGGUUUUCAGCUUUAACUACAGUGCUGCCAUGCUAAAAAUGUUGUGUAUUUUACUGGGUAAGCUGCCCAGGCAGAGCAGGGUGGAGGUUCCCCUUCAGUGGGAGGUGAAAGGAGUGGAAUUCCAUGGUAUUCAAAGGUUCUCCUUCACGGGGGGAGCAGAAAGUGGAAUUCCGUGGUCUUUAGGGUUCCCCUUCACUGGGAGGUGAAAGGGAUGGAAUUCCAUGGUCUUUAAGUUCCCUCUUCACUGGGAGGUGAAAGGGAUGGAAUUCCAUGGUCUUUAAGGUUCUCCUUCACUGGGAGCUGUCCCUGCCCAGGAGGAGUUUGGAAUUCCACAGUGUUUAAGGUUCUCCUUCACUGGGGGUGAAAGGGAUGGAAUUCCAUGGUCUUUAAGGCUCCCCUUCACUGGGAGCUGGAGGAGUUGGAAUUCCAGGGGUUCCCUUUCACUGGGAGGUGAAAGGGAUGGAAUUCCAUGGUCUUUAAGGUUCCCCUUCACUGAGAGGUUUCCCUGCCCAGCAGGAGUUUGGAAUUCCACAGUGUUUAAGAUUCUCCUUCACUGGGAGGUGAAAGGGAUGGAAU